UAAUUUGAGAGUUUGAUCCUGGCUCAGGACGAACGCUGGCGGCGUGCCUAAUACAUGCAAGUCGAACGAACUCUGGUAUUGAUUGGUGCUUGCAUCAUGAUUUACAUUUGAGUGAGUGGCGAACUGGUGAGUAACACGUGGGAAACCUGCCCAGAAGCGGGGGAUAACACCUGGAAACAGAUGCUAAUACCGCAUAACAACUUGGACCGCAUGGUCCGAGUUUGAAAGAUGGCUUCGGCUAUCACUUUUGGAUGGUCCCGCGGCGUAUUAGCUAGAUGGUGGGGUAACGGCUCACCAUGGCAAUGAUACGUAGCCGACCUGAGAGGGUAAUCGGCCACAUUGGGACUGAGACACGGCCCAAACUCCUACGGGAGGCAGCAGUAGGGAAUCUUCCACAAUGGACGAAAGUCUGAUGGAGCAACGCCGCGUGAGUGAAGAAGGGUUUCGGCUCGUAAAACUCUGUUGUUAAAGAAGAACAUAUCUGAGAGUAACUGUUCAGGUAUUGACGGUAUUUAACCAGAAAGCCACGGCUAACUACGUGCCAGCAGCCGCGGUAAUACGUAGGUGGCAAGCGUUGUCCGGAUUUAUUGGGCGUAAAGCGAGCGCAGGCGGUUUUUUAAGUCUGAUGUGAAAGCCUUCGGCUCAACCGAAGAAGUGCAUCGGAAACUGGGAAACUUGAGUGCAGAAGAGGACAGUGGAACUCCAUGUGUAGCGGUGAAAUGCGUAGAUAUAUGGAAGAACACCAGUGGCGAAGGCGGCUGUCUGGUCUGUAACUGACGCUGAGGCUCGAAAGUAUGGGUAGCAAACAGGAUUAGAUACCCUGGUAGUCCAUACCGUAAACGAUGAAUGCUAAGUGUUGGAGGGUUUCCGCCCUUCAGUGCUGCAGCUAACGCAUUAAGCAUUCCGCCUGGGGAGUACGGCCGCAAGGCUGAAACUCAAAGGAAUUGACGGGGGCCCGCACAAGCGGUGGAGCAUGUGGUUUAAUUCGAAGCUACGCGAAGAACCUUACCAGGUCUUGACAUACUAUGCAAAUCUAAGAGAUUAGACGUUCCCUUCGGGGACAUGGAUACAGGUGGUGCAUGGUUGUCGUCAGCUCGUGUCGUGAGAUGUUGGGUUAAGUCCCGCAACGAGCGCAACCCUUAUUAUCAGUUGCCAGCAUUGAGUUGGGCACUCUGGUGAGACUGCCGGUGACAAACCGGAGGAAGGUGGGGAUGACGUCAAAUCAUCAUGCCCCUUAUGACCUGGGCUACACACGUGCUACAAUGGAUGGUACAACGAGUUGCGAACUCGCGAGAGUAAGCUAAUCUCUUAAAGCCAUUCUCAGUUCGGAUUGUAGGCUGCAACUCGCCUACAUGAAGUCGGAAUCGCUAGUAAUCGCGGAUCAGCAUGCCGCGGUGAAUACGUUCCCGGGCCUUGUACACACCGCCCGUCACACCAUGAGAGUUUGUAACACCCAAAGUCGGUGGGGUAACCUUUUAGGAACCAGCCGCCUAAGGUGGGACAGAUGAUUAGGGUGAAGUCGUAACAAGGUAGCCGUAGGAGAACCUGCGGCUGGAUCACCUCCUUU
rnacentral:rRNA from 1 species